rnacentral:rRNA from 2 species
CCUGACGGCCUUAGCGCGGUGGUCCCACCUGACCCCAUGCCGAACUCAGAAGUGAAACGCCGUAGCGCCGAUGGUAGUGUGGGGUCUCCCCAUGCGAGAGUAGGGAACUGCCAGGC